AAGUUUUACUAGUUUGCUAAAAGACAGUGUGGUGUUCUCAUGCUUCCAAGCCUUACGAAUAAAGUUAGAAGGUCAUUAGAGAGGUGGAGAGAACACUGCACCAGGAGUCAGGACACCUACUUGCUUAGGUCUGUCUCUCUCCUCUACAAGGCCUGCCAUUAAAAUAGUCAUUUGGUGAAACGUCUUUGUGCCUCAUUUCCUUUUCUGAAAGAAAUGAGGAGUUAUGCUAGCUGUAUCCUUUCCAGUUUUCAUGAUCUGUGAAUCUAAAUCUGUUCACAAAAUAUCCUUAAAAAUGAUUUCUUUUUUCCCUUCUUCAGUAAGAUAAACCUUCUUUUUUUCCAGUCAAUGAUAUCAAGGAUCAUAAACCUGAUUUGCCACAAAACUUGUCAAGAGUCUGACCAUAAAAAUACUCUUAGGAAGCCUAUAUGCAAGUACUUUUGACUGCCUCCUGCACAGGAAGGGAAACAAAGUUUCUCCAAAGUUGCUGACAGGAGCUGGGGAACUGAGCCUGAUAAAGCUGCAGGAGGGCUGUGCAGGCAUAACCUUUACUUCAAGCAGGAAAACCACCAUAAAAAAAGAAUUGGGCUCGGCUGGGCAAAGCUGGAAGCAGGACUGUCCGAAACAUUGUGCUCCUUGAGCAAUACUUUAAUUCCAGAAACAUAAACUGAAAACCUCCUAGGAAUCAGGCAGUCCUGGUGCUGGACCUGAGGGCUGGUGAAAUGAAUAAGACAUACUCCCUGACUUUAAGAACACAGACAGAAAUGUGAACAAAUAAAUUAUAAUUCAGUAUCA
rnacentral:lncRNA from 1 species